GGCAAGGAUUUCUUGGAGCUACACCUUAACAUACACUAAAACUCCAUCAUUUUCAAGGGUUUACUAGCUUGGUCGGGGAUUAUUUUGGACAUUUGGUUUUGCUAGCAUACGCACGGAACGCAAUUUCGAGGCAUCAUCGUUAUGGUUUGGUAAGUGAAAUUUGGUUCGUGGCUUUAAGAAGUUGCAUGCAUCAUGGACGAUACCUUUUGGGGGUU
rnacentral:lncRNA from 1 species